rnacentral:rRNA from 1 species
UACGUAGGGUGCGAGCGUUAAUCGGAAUUACUGGGCGUAAAGCGUGCGCAGGCGGUUCGUUAAGUUCGUUGUGAAAGCCCCGGGCUUAACCUGGGAAUGGCAUUUGGGACUGCAAGGCUUGAGUGCGGCAGAGGAGACUGGAAUUCCUGGUGUAGCAGUGAAAUGCGUAGAUAUCAGGAGGAAUACCGAUGGCGAAGGCAGGUCUCUGGGCUGACACUGACGCUCAUGCACGAAAGCGUGGGGAGCAAACAGG